AACUUUAUCCUUAUAAAAUGACUAUUUUCUCUGAAUAUUAAAACACUUUUCAAGCGUUUUCGUCAACUAUUCCUGUAACGCAUUUCCAUGUAAAUGUGUUGAAAGGUAUUUCAAGGCAGACGCGCCAAGUAGCAUCACGGUGCAAUAAGUGAGCAUCUCCAGGGGCACUAUGCUCCUCCUCCUCCUCCUCCGCCUCCUCCUCCUCCAUCCAUCCAUUCUUCAGCCGAUGGCCACGCACUACUUGUCGACAUUCGAGCUGCUUUUUCGGGGGAAUCACAAGGGAAUCUUGCGCGUGCACUGCCAAGAGGGCGUGCAAGCACUCCUACUCCCGCCUCGCGUCUCCAGAGUGUUCCUCCGCUAAUGGAAAACAACUCGGAGGCGGGCGUCGCUCGUCAUCGCCUUGCCAAAAAGUUUCCUGCGACGAGCCUCCAGUUGAUUUGUUUCCUGUUUUAAAAUGUUGUAAAUGUUGGGCUGUGUGAGAAAUCAUCAUUCCGGGUUCUUUCACCGGCCUGAUCCCUCAACGCGUUCCCAAUGGAAAUCAUCACUUUCAGACAACAUUUUUUUUUUUUUUUUUUUUUUGCACAUUUCACAAGUCAAACGUUCAACAUGCAGAGAGUAGGCAAGGCAUUAUACAGCGGGACAAUACACAAACCCACAGGACCUCACGGAAAUAGAAAUAAUGCCCUCUGGGGUCCGUCAACCUCCAGGCAAGCGUACAAAGAAGUAAACUACUGACAAAUAUCUACGUAUAAGUGUUUGUAAGAAGGCAGACAGGAUCUCUAAGUGUCUACAAAAAGGAAUUAUGAAUUGAUACGUGACACUAAAAAGGAACUCUGGAUCUAUGAGUGUCUAUAGUAAGGAAUUGUGGAGGAAUUGUGAAGUCUCUCUCGCUCUAUCUUAAAUUCUAGUUCUGAAUUUAGAGGCUGACAUUUUUUCAGGAUUCCCACCAGGUCCCGUGGGUGCCGCAGGAUUCCCGUGGGAUGGACGGGAAUUUCGUUAUUAGUUACUCCAAGAGGAUACUCUGGCUCAAAAGUGGCUAUAACAAGUAUUUCCGGAUGCAUCUGUGUCUCUAAGAAGGAAUUCUGGAUCUGGAGGUGACUAAGACUACCCAGAAGGAAUUUGGGAUCAAUUCAUGUCUACAAGAAGGAAUUCUGGAUCUAUGAAGGACUAUAAAAGGUCAUUCAAGAUGUGACUCAAAGAAGGAAUGCGAGACCUAACAGUGUCUAAAAAAGCCAUUGCGAAUCUAUAAGUGACUCUAAGAGAGAUUUCUGGACCUGUAAAGGACUUAAAGAAAAAAAGCUGGCUCUAUAAGUGACUACAAAUGGCUUUAAAAAAUGUACGGUUUUCAGGAUCUCUAAGGGACUACAAGAUGGAAUUCUGGAUUUACAAGUGACUCUAAAAAGGAAGUCAUGAUUAUGUUAGCAUUAGCCAGUUAGCUCAAAUCAAGCCAAUAUCCAAAGGUCUGCAGUUAAUCUCUUUCUGGAGUUUUAUUGUCUCGAUGUUUGUUAUUUUGCAGUUUGCUCUUCCUGCUCAGGAUGCGUUCCCCCUUUGGACCCAGAUGUGAACAUCAGCGGCCCCUUCGUGGAGAUGUCUCAGAAUAACACGAGAACACAACUUUUACAUCAGCUCACGACACAGAGGACUCGCCGUUCACGCACAAACAUUCACAGAACGGAGGCUACGUCGUUAGCGACACGCAAAAGCGCACGGUGUUGAAAAAGUGUAUUCACAUUCCAGCUGCCGCUGUUGAUGCAUUCACUUCCACGCUGAGAGCAAAUGUGUUUGCCUACCCGCGAGCUGCUCAGGAGGGGCCGCGUACAUGAGCUCACACUUUCACCGGGUAGCCCACAAAAAUCGGACCAAGCCAAAUGCGAUACACGGCGUGAUAGCACACACGCAACUGAAUUUCACAUGAGAUGAGCAACGGUAUGUACUGUAAAUAUGUCAUUACAUUUCAUUCAGUCCUUCAUUUCCCCUCAGAGUACCGUAAUUCACAUAAUUGUAAACAUCAAAAGGAAAUCUUUUAUUUCUCUCACGGAACUAAUGAAAUAUCGCUAGUGUAUUGAUCAAUAUAAAAAAAGAAGGGGAAAAAAACAACAACAAUAAACCAAAUUUUCAAAUAAAAUAAAAUUAAUGCCUGUGAAUAUUCUCAUUCUUCCUUAGCUUACCUAAAAGUACUAAUAAAGUAAAUCUAUCAGUCCACCAAAAUAAUUACAUUUUUUUUUAUUUUUCUCAUCAGUCUAAUUAAGUAUAUAUAUUUAAAUAAAACGAAAUAAGAUUUUUUUUUAAUAAACAAGUACAUUAAAUUGAAUAAAAUGCAAUAAGAAAAAUCAAAUCCAAAAUAUUCCUGAAGGGACAAUUAAAAUAUAUCUAUCAAAUCAAAAUAAAAUCCAUCCAUCCAGUUUCUGAGCCGCUUCUCCUCAUGCGUGCCGGAGCCAAUCCAAGCCAUCAUCGGGCGAGAGGCGGGGUACACCCUGAACCGGUCGCCAGCCAAUCGUAGGGCACAUAGAAAUAAACAACAAUUCGCACUCACGUUCACACCUACGGGCAAUUUAGACUCUUCAGUCAAUCGACCACGUUUUGGGGAUGUGGGAGGAAACCGGAGUGCCCGACGAAAAGCCCCGCAGGCACGUGGAGAACAUGCAAACUCCACGCAGGCAGGGCCGGGAUUUGAACCCGCAACCUCACAACUGUGAGGCAGAUGUGAUAACUAGUUGACCUCCAAUGAAACAAAAUGAAAUUACAUCUUUAAUAUCCCUCACAGCAUUAAUAAAGUACAUCUCUCAAAAUAAAAUAAAAUCCUUAGUUUUCCUCAUGGGACUAAUGGCGUGUAUCUGGCUAUCAAAAUAAAUUAAAAUGACAAAAACAACAAAAUUCAGCUAUUGAUUUUCCUCACAGGAUUCAUAAGUAGAGCUAUAAAAAAUUAAAUAUAACGUUUAAAUAUACAAUUUUGAUGACCACAUUUAAGUUUAGAAUGAAUUAAUUCAUUAAUUACAUAUGAUUACCUGGUAAAUUUUAGUAGAAAAAAAAAAAAAAAAAUGUUUUUUUUGUUUUGUUCCCAUUUUUCUCAGCAUUACCAUGUGCGUGUGAGAAAAAAGAGACUCCAAAAACCUAGCGGACAUGCUAUGCUAAAGAUGCUAUAUUUUCCUACAAACGACUUUUUUUUAAGAAAUCCUCCUAAAUGCUCAUGAGAACUGCUCUCUCUCACUGUCGCUCUGAUUUCUAAUCCAGGCUGCCAGGGUACGAUAAUUACGACAUCACCGUGACAAAGGUCACGUCAAUGCACCGACGAAGCAACACACACACACACACACACACAGGCGAUACCUCCCCCAGGGCAUUCUCCGCUCAACAUGGACGCCAAAUUAGAGAAGAGCCCACGGCAGCAAUUCCCGUAAAUAUUGACUGGCUUUCAAAGCGUCCCUGGGGUAUGCGUUGCAUUUAGUUGCGGCGGUCGAUACGCGACGGCCGCUAAGCUAACUGCUAACCCCCACCCCUGGAGGCUCCUCGGGAUGGGGUCGUUAAUCUAAUUAGCAUCCGCGGGAAGGUAACCGACGGGGAAUUUCUCCGGAGGAAUAUUUCCGCUUUUAUGGGCUGGCAAGUGUCAAAUGAAUAGCGGUCGUGGGAAAUCUGCCGUUAGCGUCAAUCCAGCGCAGUGGCGUCACGCCAUCCGGUGCGGCUAAUUAAAGAGGGACUUCCGCGUGUCGUUUGCCGCUAACGCUUCAGGUGAGCAGCAGGUGUGGCAGAUUAAAGCUAAUUUCCGAGCAAGGGGGUUAAAGUACCGUUAAUUGGCUGACGAGGAAACGCAUGAUUUGAUUGGUUAGCGCCAUAAUCCGGGGAUGUCAGCCAUUAAAAUGAACAUCAGGGCACAUCGAUGUAUUAACUGCAUUUGGCUUUUUCUUGGGCUUUUCUCACAACUUGUUCCUAAAGAUGGAGCAGCCUUGACAAAGACUGUUAAACGGGACAAACUGCAAAAUUUGGUUAAUUUGCAUAAUAAUUUACAUCACAACUGCCUAAACAUCCCCACCUAUCAUGACUUGGAAGGUAGGCUAGGUGACAAUCCAGAGACACUUUCAAGUGACCACCAGACAACACUGUGUGUAAUAGUAUCAUGUAAAAGCUGAAAGUUAAGCAGAGCUGCAUUGAGUUUUGUUUGAUGUACAGAUUUGCUUCUGAUAAGCAGCAGAUACUUGAUUGUUCGGUGAAGUUGUGUUAGGGGCAUUUGGGUUUGUCCUUUUAAUUCAUAUUUCAAAGGACCCAAAGAUGGUGUCAAAGUAAAUGGUAAGCAGAGCUGCAUUGAGUUUUGUUGAAUUCACAGAUUAACGUUAGCUAACAGCAUUAGCUCCUGCUAAACUGCACAUUGCGGUUUGCUGGGUACAGUUGUCAACACAGUGGCCGCUGUUGGGAGUAUUUAUGUUGCAUGUGCUACGUAGGCGGACUGAUUCAAUUAAACUAAUUACAAAGGAGAAA